UGGGUGUCUAGGUGACAGCUGCAAGAGGCACAAGGACUCGGCACAGUCCCAAUUCUUCUGCACUGUCCAGUCCCCUUGGAGACAGCAGGCCGGGCCAGUUCUCAUGGGACAUUCAGUGGGGGCUAGAUGUCUCAAGUUUUUGAAUUAAGGAUGAUGAGACAAAAGUCAAGAGCCACCACCCAAGGGGGCUGGGGUGCGAGGUUCAUCUCGUUUUGCUGUAUAUAAUGUAACAUCAGUGGAACAUCUUGACAGAAGGCAGGGAGGGGGGAGUGUGAGGAGACACCAGACUCCACAGGAAACCAUCAGCAGUACCCAGCACGCACAUGACAACUUAUUUGUGGAAACGCUACACACAAUUCAAGGAACCUAUAGCUGCGCACGUACACGCCUACGUCCUAGAAAGCACUUUUUACAACAUUUACUGGAAAACUCCUAUUCCAUCUCACACUCUUGUCUAAAGUCCUAAAUCAUAUCCAGGCUGAACCUCUAGUAACUUCAUAAAGCACUUAUACCAGCAACUUUCUUGCCAAUCCUUAAAUAUCUUCAGCUAAUUUAGAGAGAAACCAAACACUAAGCUGAGAACAUAGCUAUGAUGUUAAUUAUGUUCUUUUAUGAAGGUCUCAUAAACCUGAAUUUAGUAAGGUCUGAACUUACUUUUCUGGUCGUGGAAAUGGAUGUGCCUGACUCCACCUACUCUGACCAGCGACCGUUGGGAACCAUGCAUGGCGCACUCAGUCUUUCAGCUCCAUAAGGAGGGGGACCUGAGCUUGUCACUGCUGCAUCUCCAGCACCUAGAACAGUGCCUGGCACUCAAACACAGGCUGAAUGCUUGGAUGAUUAGUAAGUGGGCAUCUGUAAGCCUGAGCCAAACAGGAACAACGUCCCUGUUCGGUGGCUCUCCCCUCAAAGGUGUCACCCUGAAUAUCCCAGCACUACUACUGACCCCAGGGAGGCCUGUGUGCAGCCUGGAUACUUCAGGAUGAUGAUAAGUCUUUGGUGCUUGUUCCCAAAGCCCAGAGCCUCCCCUGCCCCUCACUGUCUUCAUGAACCCUGCUCCCUAUCAGUAGCUACUGGUCCAAGAGCCCUUCUUCCAGGAGCCAGCUUGUUGGUUUUCAGUUGGCAGAAGAAUCCCUAAGAAGUUUCAUGUUGUGUUCUUGCCCUUACUAAGCUGUUGACACCACUCAAAGGGGGAGCUCAGGCCAGGUGGGUUAAAAGGUUAACUCCAGAACAGAUGGGCCCCUGGUUCCCAUUUCCUACUUCAUCCCCAGCAUCCAGUCAUCACGGCACUCCUCUCUCACGGUUUCCCCAACUCAUCCCUGCUUUAUUUCCAUAAUGGUGUGCUUGGCUGGGCCACAGGGACGAUAAAAGGGGCCGGGGCUGGGAGGUGGGCAGGGGGAAGGUAUUGAAUCUCUGGCAUAGCUAAAUAAAGACUGCCCUGCCCCAUGGUCACUCACGGGGUGGUAAGAGCCGAACGGCAGCAUGUAACCCGUGUGAUCCAGAUGCUUUCCGGUGAGGUGACUGCGGGCCUGUCAGAUGGGCUGGAGCCCUCAUUUCUGGAUAUGGUUUGUCAAACAGGAACACCGUUGGCCUCUGGGGAAGGCUCAUCUCUCCAAUUCAAACUUCUAACCUCGGCAUCCCAGCCACUGCAAAAGUGUCCUACCACGCCCCCUGGCGGCGAAUGGCCUUUAGAUUUUUUUUUUUUCUUCUCUAAACUGAAGUUCAGAGAGAAGUUGGUAUGGAUUUGAGAAGGUGUGACAGCCCCUUAGCAAUAUAGGGAAAAGAAAAAACCAUUUUGGAAGAUGGCAAGAAAAUUUGAAAAAGGAGACGGAGGAACACCUUGUUAACACAAAGAAAUGAUAAAUUUGGGGUUUGACUUUAUGCACACCCAAACAGACCCUGGAAGCAAGAGCCUAAGCCCCUGUAGCCUGGUGGGGAAGAGGAGAGCAGCACGUUGGGGCAGGUGACAGGCACCGAUGAAGGCAGUAGAUGUUUUCCAUCCAAUCUGGCCACACAUCUGGAUUGGCAUUUGAGAACGCAAAUGAGAACUGACUAUGGCAAAAUAAGGGAUCAGCCUCCUAGAGGAAAGCCACGUGACUGAGGUAGUGUCAUGAAAUGAUAAUCAGUCUGUUAAAAAUAGGACUUUUGCACAGAAGAGAUCUGAAUUCCCCAGAUUAUACCCAUGUUG
rnacentral:lncRNA from 1 species